GCCUCCUCCACGUCUUCCCUUCUCUAGGGAACACGGAGCCCCGUGGAGGCUUUUGUUCUCCGGCCACUGCCGAGCCCCGGCUCCCCACUCUCGAAGCUCCCGGCUCCAUGUCACACACCGCGGGGCUCACGGGCGUCAAGCCGCCUUUGACCGAGUCCGCCCUUGCCGUGUGCGCAGCGGCGAGGGCCGCUCAUCCCGCGGAACCUGCGCGCUGUGCCGCAGCUAUUGCCUCGGUGCAACAGCACGGCGCGGAUGGGGAGACGGAUGGGGACCGAGGUCGGUCAGCUGCCGCCAGCUGCGGUGCUGCCGCCUUGCCCCGACGGCGGGCCCCGAGCCCUCGACAAAAGGACUUCUCUAACCUAAAAUGUUCCUUCCCCCGCCAUCAGCAAUGAGAGCUUUUUGUGGUGUCUGAAGUGAGUAGAUGUCAAGACAUAAAGAAGUACAACAUGCCGUACCUUGCUACUUUGCUUUAAGCAACCUUUUGGCUAAAGUCUUUCUCGCCGUCAGCACAGAAACACUGAGCAGGGCUGCGCUGCGGAGGCACAGACACCCAUUGCACACGAGUGGGCCCCUUUCCCAUCGCUCCAUACCUCACCGCCGACCCCCCCAAGCUGAGCCUCGGGACUGCAGAGGGUCCCCAGGCUGACAGGCUCUGCUUACACUCCGGUGGUGGCAUUUUACCUCUCUUGGCAGACGUGUCAAAGGACACCUGCAGCUCCAGAGAAGAGGGGAAAGAGAUACUGUUAGCCACACUGCAAACAGGACCUUUUGAAUCUCACUGUUGCCAUGAGGCUGCGUGUUUCUGAACUGCUGGGUAGACCCUGCCUGAGAAUACCCAGCUUUCCAGUGCUCUCCAUGAUAAAAGGACCAGAGGCAAGAUGCUGUAAAUAUUCCUCCAGAAGUUUGCAAGCAACUCCUCAGCAUUACCUUCCCAACCCUUUUGACAGCUCUCUGUGGAGCACUACUCUUCCUGCAGGCAAUUACCAGUGGAGAGAGCCCCAUUCCUGUUUCCACCACAAGUUCCAUUGCCAUGUGAAAGCCUGAUAGUGAAAAUGUGGUAACCAAGGAUCACUGCUCACAAUGUUUCCAAAUGUCAGUGCAAAGGAGACUUCAGCUACUAAACGUAGAAUAAAAAUGAAUGUCCCUCAGCUAUCUCUGCUUGCAAGUUUGAUUUGUAGCAUCUGGCUGAACAAGAAUUGCUGAAAUACAGGGUAUGAUCCAUCUACUCCUGGCUUCUGAAUUCAGGCAUGGCCAUGGAAGUUCCUUCCACCAGUGUGACUUUGGACUUUUGUCAAAAGUGGAGAAAAGUAGCAAGGGCAGAACAAAUUUCUUUCCCUUGGUAAAAGGAAGUUGGCAAAAAUGCAAGAUUUGUAGCAGGUCUUUAUGUGCAGACAUAGCAAUCAAAGUUCUCAUGAAUUUUGCUACUGACCUUGCUGAGUUCUGAAUGUUAUUCAAAAGGAGGAGUACUGGGUCUUCAAUUCAGAAAUUUGAGAAAAAGUCCAAAACAGCCCAAGGUCUGCAUAUAACACUUUGAAGACACAACAUCUGGCAAUAAAUAUCAAAGAAGGAGCUAAGAAGCUUACCUUUGCAAAAAUAAAGACAGAAUUUUGUCAUAAAAUUUAUUUAGUUAAGAUGUGAGAAAGAAGAGCUGAAAGCAACUCCUAUACAUCCUGUAGGAGAACUAACACUGAAGGAAUGGGAUGCAUGUGGAAAAAUUAUCCCCCAUUUGGACUUCUGUUAUCUCAAAGAGAAGAAAUUCUGAACUUAUAGGAGAUAGAAAAAACAGGCCUAAAGGAGAAAAGUGCAGUGUGAAGACAUCUACACAAGAAGAGACUGCCCUCUGCAGUAAUCUUAGUUUGGAAAGACAGCUGACAAGAGGAUGAGAAAGACCUGCUCUCUGCUGCAGUAGCUGUCUGAAGGGCUGGUUCAGUCAGCGCUGACAGAGACAAAUCCUGAGAGCCUGCAGGGAAAAGUCUUUCCCAGCUUCCAGGGAUCCCAGUGCCUCAGUGCUGCAGGAUGUGCUACUGCCCAUAUUGUGAAGGCUGCCGAACAUCAGUCAAACAGUUUCCAUUCUGCUAAACCAGAGGACACAGAAAGUAGAGAAGUGGGAAUGCACGGAGUUAGAGGAGGUAUCAUAGUGCAUAAGGCAAAUGUCUUCCUGGAAAAGAAAAAAAGUAAUAUACUUCAUACUGUUUUCUUAGAGAACAUAGUAUAUCUUAGAUUACUUAUUUUGACUUAAUGGGAACAUAUUUAGGAGGAAGUUACAUGUAAGUGAAUUUAGUGAAAAACAAAACUUAAAACAAUAGUUACACAGGUUUAAGCAGGCACAGCUCUAGGGGUGUCAGCUGGUGACUUACAUGGGCUGCAGGUCUGGCUGGUACAAUCAUUUGUUGAUUAAAUAAACCUUCUUGAGGCUAAGGAAACUGAAUAACAGCAAUGAGGCUUCCUCCAGCUCCUAAUGAGCAGCAUAAGGUCCUGUAGUAGCUUUCCUGUCCUAGGACUGAGCCAAAUAAACAAAAAUAGAAUUUCUGGAAUCCAUUGCAUUUCUGAAGGGCAUUAUUUAAAAAUUAGACUGCAAAAGAUUAUUAUCACAGGCAUACCACUUUAGAAUAGCUUUCCUAGAAGCAAAGCAACUUUGGGGAAAACCUCUAAACAAUCCCUCUUACUGUAAGACACCUGUUCUCCUUAAAGCACAUUUUUUAGUGGAAGUUGCCCCAGCUGAAUUAAAUUUGUUUCCCUUGGGCCUGCAUUUUCCUUAGCCAACACAACAGCUGCACCAUGUGGAGAUGAGCCACAAGAAGUGAAACAACACAUGUUUGUGAUUGCAGUAUCAGCUUUGGCAGAUUUCAGUGCAGAGGUCUUUAACUGCCUUCUAAUAGAGAGCCAGCUUUGCAAUAUAUACAACAUUUUGCAAAGUAGUAGCAGUAAUAUAGAUACAGUUCUGUGUAUUUCUUAUACAUACUGGCACAGUAAAACCAGAAAGGAGCUGACUAUUACUUAUAGCUAUAAAUAUUGUCUUAAGUACAACCUUGUUUUUCUGCGUCUAAAAGUAGGAACAGAACAGAAGGAUGGGUUAACUACAGUAAAAGCUCCUGAGGUUCCUGUUCUAGCUGUUACCCAGUCCUGCAACCAUUCAAAACAUGCACUAACUCUGUUAUUUUAAAGCUCUAGUAAAUUUAAUCUCUCCAAGAAAUUGCUGAAUUCCUGAAAAAUAAUGCAUAAUCUUGUUCCAAUGUGCUUUCUUCCCCUUAAUUUCAAGAACAGGUGCCAAAAACUGGUCUUGCAUAGCCUAAUGCAAUAUACUUUAGAACACAGUUUGGAAAACUACUUUUUAGGCAUUUAAUUCAGGGCUUUUGAGUAUCCCACACCCAUCAAAAUUAUGUACUUACAUUUGAAAGACCAUUUUGAAAGAUCAAGAAAAAUACCAAUAACAUUUGAGUCAAGUGUUUAUGAUCUGAUGUUCCUGUUACUUUAUGUAAAAUUAGUGCUGUGUAUAUUUGUGGGUAUACUAAUACAGUUAUGUGGUUUUAAUCUUCCUACGCAUUUUCUCACUUAAAAUUGCUAUACCAUUUCAAUGCAAAUUAUACUUAGAUAUUGUAAUGCAUUAGCAGGCAAUGCAUAUUAUACAACAUCGAAUAAGUGUCCCUGUGACUAGAUUUCCCUGAAACAGCAGAUUUUCCCAGUGUCUAAAAUUUCAGAUGCUUAGUAUCUAUUCCACAAUAAGAGGACCACAUCUACACUGUUUAUCUUCUCUGACUGCAUAAUUUCUCAUCUAAUGAACCAAUGACACAUUCUUAAGAGAUUAUUUUAAUAAAAUGGUA
ensembl:lncRNA